UACGUAGGGUGCGAGCGUUGUCCGGAAUUAUUGGGCGUAAAGAGCUCGUAGGCGGUGUGUCGCGUCGGUCGUGAAAACUUGGGGCUUAACUCCAAGCUUGCGGUCGAUACGGGCAGACUUGAGUUCGGCAGGGGAGACUGGAAUUCCGUGGUGUAGCGGUGAAAUGCGCAGAUAUCAGGAGGAACACCGGUGGCGAAGGCGGGUCUCUGGGCCGACACUGACGCUGAGGAGCGAAAGCGUGGGGAGCGAACAGG
rnacentral:rRNA from 1 species